UACGGAGGGUGCGAGCGUUAUCCGGAUUCACUGGGUUUAAAGGGUGCGUAGGUGGGCUGUUAAGUCAGUGGUGAAAUCUCCGGGCUCAACCCGGAAACUGCCAUUGAUACUAUCAGUCUUGAAUAUCGUUGAGGUAAGCGGAAUAUGUCAUGUAGCGGUGAAAUGCUUAGAUAUGACAUAGAACACCAAUUGCGAAGGCAGCUUGCUACGAACUAAUUGAUCACUGAGGCACGAAAGCGUGGGGAUCAAACAGG
rnacentral:rRNA from 1 species